UACGGAGGGAGCUAGCGUUAUUCGGAAUUACUGGGCGUAAAGCGUACGUAGGCGGCUUUGCAAGUUAGAGGUGAAAGCCUGGAGCUCAACUCCAGAACUGCCUUUAAAAACUGCAUCGCUUGAAUCCAGGAGAGGUGAGUGGAAUUCCGAGUGUAGAGGUGAAAUUCGUAGAUAUUCGGAAGAACACCAGUGGCGAAGGCGGCUCACUGGACUGGUAUUGACGCUGAGGUACGAAAGCGUGGGGAGCAAACAGGG
rnacentral:rRNA from 1 species